UUGGAGGGCAAGUCUGGUGCCAGCAGCCGCGGUAAUUCCAGCUCCAAUAGCGUAUAUUUAAGUUGUUGCAGUUAAAAAGCUCGUAGUUGAAUUUCGGGAUUGGCGCAUCGGUCGUGCCUCACGGGGUAUGAACUGGUGCAGUCAAUUUCUCACCCUCUGGAGAACCGCGAUGUCCUUAAUUGGAUGCCGCGGGGAACCAGGACCUUUACUUUGAGAAAAUUAGAGUGUUUAAAGCAGGCAUUUUUGCUUGAAUACAUUAGCAUGGAAUAAUAAAAUAGGACGGCAUGGUUCUAUUUUGUUGGUUUCUAGGACCACCGUAAUGAUUAAUAGGGAUAGUUGGGGGCAUUAGUAUUCAAUUGUCAGAGGUGAAAUUCUUGGAUUUAUUGAAGACUAACUACUGCGAAAGCAUUUGCCAAGGAUGUUUUCAUUAAUCAAGAACGAAAGUUAGGGGAUCGAAGACGAUCAGAUACCGUCGUAGUCUUAACCAUAAACUAUGCCGACUAGGAAUCAGACGAUGUUAAUUUUUUAAUGACUCGUUUGGCACCUUACGGGAAAC
rnacentral:rRNA from 1 species